rnacentral:rRNA from 1 species
GACGAACCGAGCGAACGUUAUUCGGAAUCACUGGGCUUAAAGGGCGCGUAGGCGGGCCGUCAAGUCGAGGGUGAAAUCCCCCAGCUCAACUGGGGAAGUGCCUCCGAUACUGGCGGCCUCGAGGGGGAUAGGGGCAUGCGGAACUUCCGGUGGAGCGGUGAAAUGCGUAGAGAUUGGAAAGAACACCGAUGGCGAAGGCACUUUACUGGGCUAUUACUAACACUCAGAGACGAAAGCUAGGGUAGCAAAUGGG